AAGACUAUACUUUCAGGGAUCAUUUCUAUAGUUCGCUACUAGAAAAUUUUUAAUUACAUGUUGCUCAUAUUAUA
rnacentral:snoRNA from 1 species